UACGUAGGCAGCAAGCGUUGUUCGGAGUUACUGGGCGUAAAGGGUGCGUAGGCGGUCCUAUAAGUAUGGUGUGAAAUCUCCCGGCUUAACUGGGAGGGUGCGCUAUAGACUGUGGGACUAGAGUGUGGGAGAGGGAAGUGGAAUUCCUGGUGUAGCGGUGAAAUGCGUAGAUAUCAGGAGGAACACCGGUGGUGUAAACGGCUUUCUGGACCAUAACUGACGCUGAGGCACGAAAGCGUGGGUAGCAAACAGG
rnacentral:rRNA from 1 species